AUUGAACGCUGGCGGCAGGCUUAACACAUGCAAGUCGAGCGAGCGGCGGACGGGUGAGUAAUGUCUGGGAAACUGCCUGAUGGAGGGGGCUAACUACUGGAAACGGUAGCUAAUACCGCAUACCAUCAGAUGUUGCCUGAUGGGAUUAUCUAGUAGGUGGGGUAAUGGCUCACCUAGGCGACGAUCCCUAGCGGGUCUGAGAGGAUGACCAGCCAAACUGGAACUGAGACACGGUCCAGACUCCUACGGGAGGCAGCAGUGGGGAAGCUUGCACAAUGGGCGCAAGCCUGAUGCAGCCAUGCCGCGUGUGUGAAGAAGGCCUUCGGGUUGUAAAGCACUUUAAGCGAGGAGGCGUUACUCGCAGAAGAAGCACCGGCUAACUCCGUGCCAGCAGCCGCGGUAAUUC
rnacentral:rRNA from 1 species